AGAAAUGCAGGAAGAUGGACAGAGGGCUGGGGAAGUACAAUGGAAGGCCAAAUGGAUGAUCUGUUCUCUGUGGAUCAGCUCCCCACCAACACUCUUACUCCUGAGGACUCAUCCAACAAUAAUAAGAGAAUGCUCUUGUUUUUGAAGAAUUUUCUGAAAGCCAUCCUGACAAAUUAAGUAGAGUACGCUGAAGAUAGACUUUGCUUUUAAGAAUUGCAGUUGCGUAUUCUGGAAGAGGCUCUUCAGUCCAAUCUUUAGUUCUCUCCAAAGAAUAACUGAAGUAAACUACCAAAGGCCUGGAGCCCGAGCUGUUCCCACACGGGCUCCAGGACAGAGUCUCAUAGGGUUGCCUCAACUAAAUCUCUGAUAACUGUUUCUUCUGUCUUUCUCCUAAAAAUGGAAUGCAGGCCGUCUGUUCUAGGGAAAUAAAGGAUUCUGGUUACAUGAAUCCA